GAAGGAGGGCCCUUCGGGUUCGGCAAUCACGUGCUGAUCUCAAGCCACCGCAAGCUGCUGCGGUCAAAAGCCGUGGUGGUGAGCGUUGCGGAAACGCCGGAACACGAUUCCGGCAGGC
rnacentral:ncRNA from 1 species